rnacentral:misc_RNA from 1 species
GCGAGAUCUGCUCAUCGAGAUCGGUGAUUGAAUCUGAAGAUAGCGAAUUCGAGCCCAUCUUGGUUGUUUCUCUUCGGCUCUAAGACCAAGAACGGGUUUACGGUAUCCGGAUUAGGGAUAACCCUAACCCUAAGAUUGAAUGAGAUGCUUCUUGUGUCUUCUUUUCAGUUAAUGGCAGUUGGUUUGCGCCGCGAACGAGGAGGAACUUGCAGUGCGCGCUAAGGAGUGAGGUAAUUAGCUAAUCUCUUCGUCACUGCAGUGAGAGAAAAU